rnacentral:rRNA from 1 species
GACGAACGCUGGCGGCGUGCCUAAUACAUGCAAGUCGAGCGCAGGAAACUGACGGAACUCUUCGGAGGGAAGGCAGUGGAAUGAGCGGCGGACGGGUGAGUAACACGUAAGGAACCUGCCUCAAGGAUUGGGAUAACUCCGAGAAAUCGGAGCUAAUACCGGAUAGUUCAUCGGACCGCAUGGUCCGUUGAUGAAAGGCGCUUCGGCGUCACCUUGAGAUGGCCUUGCGGUGCAUUAGCUAGUUGGUGGGGUAAUGGCCACCAAGCCGACGAUGCAUAGCGGACAUGAGAGGGUGAUCGACAACAAUGGGACUGAGACACGGCCCAGACUACGACGGGAGGCAGCAGUAGGGAAUCUUCCACAAUGGACGAAAGUCUUAUGGAGCAACGCCGCGUGAGUGAUGAAGGUUUUCGGAUCGUAAAACUCUGUUGUAAGGGAAGAACACGUACGAGAGGGAAUGCUCGUACCUUGACGGUACCUUACGAGAAAGCCACGGCUAACUACGUGACAGCAGCCGCCGUAAAAC